rnacentral:piRNA from 1 species
UAAACUUUUAAAGUCAGAAGAGUUAUGGAUUU